UACGGGGGGAGCAAGCGUUGUUCGGAUUUACUGGGCGUAAAGAGCUCGUAGGCGGCUCGUCGCGUCGACUGUGAAAACUCGGGGCUUAACCCUGGGCCUGCAGUCGAUACGGGCGGGCUAGAGUUCGGUAGGGGAGACUGGAAUUCCUGGUGUAGCGGUGAAAUGCGCAGAUAUCAGGAGGAACACCGGUGGCGAAGGCGGGAUCCUGGGCCAGUACUGACGCUGAGGAGCGAAAGCGUGGGGAGCAAACAGG
rnacentral:rRNA from 1 species